AGGAACACUAUAGCAUCUAUACUCUAAAUAUAUCUCUGACGUCUCUUUCUUUCAUCCAGUUCAGAAAAGAAUAUUCUAUCUCACCAUUUGUCCCACUUGUCCAAUACUGUAAUUCCAACGCAUCAAUUCUUUUCCAAUAUUCUUUUUGACUUUACAGCUUUCACAUGGAUAAGAGGCAAUCAAAAGUAACAUAACUAGAGUCAGGAACAUAUUCAUCAUCAAAGUGACAGGCAUCUUUGCUAUUAAUAAUACUCCUACUCUUUAGCUGGCUUGGCCUUCUAUGUGCAAUUUGUGAAGAGGAUGUGGCAAAAGCAAUGCUAUGACAUCUUUUGAGUUUUGACUUCAAGAGACUGUGUUUGCUUGUUCUCAGAACCCUGCCUCUGACAUGAGAAAAAGCAAACAAAGACUACCCCUGGUGGCACAAGCAGUUAGGUGUUCAAUUAUUAGAUAAAAGUUUGGCAGCUCGCACCUGCCCAGAGGCACCUUGGAAGACAGACCAGGGAUCUGAUUUUGAAAGGUUACUGUCUUGAAAACCCUUUGGAGCAUCUCGGCUCCCACGAACGGGGUGGUCAUGAGUCCGAAUCCACAUGGUGGCAACUAGUUCCAUGGUAACGUCUGCGUGAGGAUAAGAAGUCAUGCGAUGAAGAAGCAUGUCAGUUCAUUUCUGCCGGCCUAGGCUCCAGAUGUGUGAGCGAACUCAGCCAGGACCAGCCGCCACCCAGCUGACUGCGCCUGCGACCCUGUGAAUGAGUCCAGUUGAGAUCAGUUCAUUCCUGAAAUCAGCCAUCAUCUUGGGAUGUGCAAAGUGGACCUGUGGGUGGUCAAGCGCAGAGACCCAAUGAAACCUUCAGGGACAGCCCCUUAUCAACCACCAGCUCUGCAAGUAAUGAGCCUUUAGAGACGAUGCCAGCUACAGACUUCUCAUCUAUGCCCGCGGACCUCUGAGCGCUGGAGCGGAGACAGAGCAACGUUUCCACUGCACCUGGUCAGAAUUCCUGCCCCACAGAAAAUCCAAGAGGAGGACAUUGGAAACCUACCAGGUAAUUGGUUUGAGGAAGAACUGAGGCCUGAACACCAGAUUGUUGCCUCCUAAUUCAAGGCCGUCGCCACCCUUCCAGGUCAUCUUUUCAUUGGGAAAACACAGGGCUUGUGAGGAUCUCUGCCCCCUAAUGUUCUGCAUGUUAAGAGGAGAAAAACCAAAUACUGUGCGCUAUCCUUCCCUUGCGCGUCUAGGCUUCCAAAAGAGGGGGGAAAUGGCCUUCCCUGAAAAACGAUGCUGAGGAAGUGUUGAUGGCACAAGGUCUUCGGACAUGCUGUCCACCUAAUAAGGGAGUAAACGUCCAUGGAAAACGAGAACUGACGAUCUCUUAGCCUGCUCACAGGUUUUCUCUCGGUGACUGUCACGCAUGGAGGAUGCUGAGUUUCCAUCCCCGUUAUAAUGGUUCUGUUUAAGAUAUGUUUAUUUGGUCAGCUGGCUGCCUUCCUGUUGGCUAUUAAGUGCAGUCUAAUUGAAUUAGAUGGUUUCUGUAGAGAGUCAGAUCCUUCAAGAUAGAACAAGCAAAUGAAAAAUAGAACAAAG